GGAUGAUUCUCUGGAGCGAGGAAUACGGUGCAGCAGCAGCUUGGAGAAGAAAGAAUGUUAACUGAACUUCAGGAUACUCCCUUGGAGGAACUGGUCAUCCUCAAGGGGCAGCCCCUGCUCUGGAUCCAGGACGCUAGUGUUACCGAUUCGACACCGAGCACAACGCCACGAGGCACGAUGCCCAGAGAGAACAAAAACUCGGCACAGCAGUCAAGCACCAGCUUUCCUAGUUUUACGAAGCCUUAGAGAAUUCCCACCAUCUGAAACAGAGUUGCUUUUUUUUCCUUUUCAUGCUCUUCUUUUUAAGUCCAUUACAUAAAAAUGCAGGACUGAUUUUAGAGAGCUGACAAAC
rnacentral:lncRNA from 1 species